rnacentral:rRNA from 1 species
AAUCCUUUAACGAGUACCAAUUGGAGGGCAAGUCUGGUGCCAGCAGCCGCGGUAAUUCCAGCUCCAAUAGCGAAUAUUAAAUUUGUUGCAGUUAAAAAGCUCGUAGUUGGAUCCAAGGUUAGGCAUGCCUGUCUGUUCUUAGUAGCAUGACUGUGUGUGUCUGCCUUUAUUAGUCGAAUGUUCAUUAUGGUGGUCUUCAUCGACUGCUAUGAUGUGCUCAACACGUUUACCUUGAAAAAAUCAGAGCGAUCAAGGCAGGCCUUCGUGCUUGUAUGUUGUUGCAAGGAAUAAUAGAAUAGGACUUCGGUUCUAUUUUGUUGGUUUUGAGAAUUGAAGUAAUGAACAAUAGAGACAGUCGGGGGCAUUUGUAUGGUGGCGUUAGAGGUGAAAUUCUGAGAUCGUCGCCAGACAAACUACUGCGAAAGCAUUUGCCAAGGAUGUCUUCAUUAAUCAAGAACGAAAGUCAGAGGUUCGAAGACGAUCAGAUACCGUCCUAGUUCUGACCAUAAACGAUGCCGACCUACAAUCGGGGGUGGUUUAUUAUAUUGACCCUCCCGGCUGUCCUCAGGAAACUUUAAGUUGGUUCUGGGGGGAAUAUGGUCUCAAGACUGAAACUUAAAGGAAUUGACGGAAGGGCACCACCAGGAGUGGAGCCUGCGGCUUAAUUUGACCCAACACGGGGAACUCACCCGGUCCGGACACUGGUAGGAUGGACAGAUUGAUAGCUCUUUCUUGAUUCAGUGGGUGGUGGUGCAUGGCCGUUCUUAGUUGGUGGAGUGAUUUGUCUGGUUAAUUCCGAUAACGGACGAGACUCUGUCCUGCUAAAUAGUCCAGUGGCAUCAAUCACUAUGUGAUUACAGCUGCUGUUACUUCUUAGAGGGAUUCGCGGAUUUAAACCGCAAGAAAUAGAGCAAUAACAGGUCUGUGAUGCCCUUAGAUGUCCGGGGCCGCACGCGCGCUACAUUGACAGUAGAAGCGAGUAUUUCUACCUGGUUCGAAAGAAUUGGGAAAUCUUCGAAUUACUGUCUCCACAGGGAUUGAGGUUUGCAAUUUUGCCUCAUGAACGAGGAAUUCCCAGUAGGCGCAAGUCAUCAGCUUGCGUCGAUUACGUCCCUGCCCUUUGUACACACCGCCCGUCGCUACUACCGAUUGAGUGCAUUAGUGAGGACCUCGGAUUGAGAACAUAGUGGCGCAAGUUACUUUGUUUUCGAAAAGUGGUUCAAAUUUGUGCAUUUAGAGAUAGUAAAAGUCGU